rnacentral:rRNA from 1 species
CCUACGGGCGGCAGCAGUGAGGAAUAUUGGUCAAUGGGCGAGAGCCUGAACCAGCCAAGUCGCGUGAAGGAUGACGGCCCUACGGGUUGUAAACUUCUUUUGUCAGGGAGCAAUUGAGUCCACGUGUGGUCUUAGCGAGAGUACCUGAAGAAAAAGCAUCGGCUAACUCCGUGCCAGCAGCCGCGGUAAUACGGAGGAUGCGAGCGUUAUCCGGUGUUAUUGGGUUUAAAGGGUGCGUAGGCGGAAUAUCAAGUCAGCGGUAAAAAUUCGGGGCUAAACCCCGUCGUGCCGUUGAUACUGAUGUUCUUGAGUGGGCGAGAAGGAUGCGGAAUGCGAGGUGUAGCGGUGAAAUGCAUAGAGAUCACGAAGAACUCCGAUUGCGAAGGCAGCAUACCGGCGCCCAACUGACGCUGAAGCACGAAAGCGUGGGUAUCGAACAGGAUUAGAUACCCCUGUAGUC